UUGAACGCUGGCGGCAGGCCUAACACAUGCAAGUCGAACGGUAACAGGAAGCAGCUUGCUGCUUCGCUGACGAGUGGCGGACGGGUGAGUAAUGUCUGGGAAGCUGCCUGAUGGAGGGGGAUAACUACUGGAAACGGUAGCUAAUACCGCAUAAUGUCGCAAGACCAAAGAGGGGUACCUUCGGGCCUCUUGCCAUCGGAUGUGCCCAGAUGGGAUUAGCUUGUUGGUGGGGUAACGGCUCACCAAGGCGACGAUCCCUAGCUGGUCUGAGAGGAUGACCAGCCACACUGGAACUGAGACACGGUCCAGACUCCUACGGGAGGCAGCAGUGGGGAAUAUUGCACAAUGGGCGCAAGCCUGAUGCAGCCAUGCCGCGUGUAUGAAGAAGGCCUUCGGGUUGUAAAGUACUUUCAGCGGGGAGGAAGGGAGUAAAGUUAAUACCUUUGCUCAUUGACGUUACCCGCAGAAGAAGCACCGGCUAACUCCGUG
rnacentral:rRNA from 1 species